GACGAACGCUGGCGGCGUGCCUAAUACAUGCAAGUAGAACGCUGACUACUUUAGCUUGCUAGAGUAGAAGGAGUUGCGAACGGGUGAGUAACGCGUAGGUAACCUGCCUACUAGCGGGGGAAUAACGUAUUGGAAACGAUAGCUAAUACCGCAUAACAGUGUUUAACACAUGUUAGAUGCUUGAAAGAUGCAAUUGCAUCACUAGUAGAUGGACCUGCGUUGUAUUAGCUAGUUGGUGGGUAACGCCCACCGAAGGCGGCGAUACAUAGCCGACCUGAGAGGGUGAUCGGCCACACUGGGACUGAGACACGGCCCAG
rnacentral:rRNA from 1 species